UGUCUCCUCCUUAGAAGCUGAGCUCCUCGGGGGCAAACAAGGGCCUUGAGUUUUUAUGAAUCACAUUGUUUGGCAUGUAGUAACAGUUACUCAAUAUUCAUAGAAAAUAAACAA